rnacentral:rRNA from 1 species
UCGCACCUACCGAUUGAAUGGUCCGGUGAAGACUCGGGAUUGUAGUGAAGCUCCUUCAUUGGUGCCUUACCGCGAGAACUUGUCUAAACCUUAUCAUUUAGAGGAAGGUG